GACGAACGCUGGCGGCGUGCUUAACACAUGCAAGUCGAACGAUGAAGCCGGAGCUUGCUCUGGUGAAUUAGUGGCGAACGGGUGAGUAACACGUGAGUAACCUGCCCUUGACUCUGGGAUAACUGCGGGAAACUGUAGCUAAUACCGGAUACGACCCUCGGAGGCAUCUCCUGGGGGUGGAAAGAAUUUCGGUCAAGGAUGGACUCGCGGCCUAUCAGCUAGUUGGUGAGGUAAAGGCUCACCAAGGCGACGUCGGGUAGCCGGCCUGAGAGGGUGACCGGCCACACUGGGACUGAGACACGGCCCAGACUCCUACGGGAGGCAGCAGUGGGGAAUAUUGCACAAUGGGCGCAAGCCUGAUGCAGCAACGCCACGUGAGGGAUGACGGCCUUCGGGUUGUAAACCUCUUUUAGCAGGGAAGAAGCGAAAGUGACGGUACCUGCAGAAAAAGCACCGGCUAACUACGUGCCAGCAGCCGCGGUAA
rnacentral:rRNA from 1 species